rnacentral:rRNA from 1 species
UUUCGCAAUGCCCGAAAGGGUGACGAAGCGACGCCGCGUGAGUGAGGAAGGCCUUCGGGUUGUAAAGCUCUGUCAGGAGUUAAGAAAUAUAAGUGUGUUAAUACCACAUUUAUUUGACGAAGGCUCCAAAGGAAGCCACGGCUAACUCUGUGCCAGCAGCCGCGGUAAUACAGAGGUGGCAAGCGUUGUUCGGAAUUAUUGGGCGUAAAGAGCACGUAGGUGGGUUUGUAAGUCAGAUGUGAAAGCCUUCUGUUCGACGGAAGAAUUGCAUCUGAAACUGCGAGUCUUGAGUGUAGGAGGGGAGAAUGGAACUUCUGGUGGAGCGGUGAAAUGCGUAGAUAUCAGAAGGAACGCCGGCGGCGAAAGCGAUUCUCUGGCCUAUUACUGACACUCAGUGUGCGAAAGCUAGGGGAGCAAACGGGAUUAGAUACCCCGGUAGUCCUAGCUGUAAACGAUGGGCACUAAGUAGAGGGGUUUUA